AAAAAAAAAAAAAAAAAAAAAAAAAAACCUCUCGGGCAUGCCACACACCAAGCCCGUGUUAGUGAACUGAACUGAAGGGGUUACAACCCGGCGCCUGGCAUCCUCUUUCUCCAUCAGAUGUCAUUCACAAAUCAAGAUUUGGAAACAAAUGGCAGAAAAAUAUAGUCGUCAGCUUUCUCAAUUCAUUUUAAACCCUAAGAAGCUCUGUCACCAUGUUGUAUUGACUGAAAUUGCUACUGGUAUGCAUACAAGCUGAUCAGCUACAUAUGCACAUUGCAUACAAUCUAUAAAGCGGAAUGGGGAGUCACUGGACUGUGAAAAGGAAGGAAGGUCCUUCACUCUGCACCAGUGCAUGCAAACUGAAUAGCAUGACAAUGCUGCCAGAUAGUGCUGUAUUAAAAAAGAAAAAUCCAUGGCAACGGCAAUAAUGAAGCAAAACAUACAGCACAGAAGUGUAUUACAUCAGUGUGAGAAUACUGCAGAGCAUUACAAAACCAAAAGGUUUACCACAAUAUUUGAAUUCACACUGGCAGGAUUUACCUCAUCUCCCUACUGUGAUGAUUGUAUAUCACAGUGUUUCAAGAAUCACUCAGAACUCACUUUAAACCAUUACACAAGAAAACAAAGAAGAAGGAUGCCCUUUGUAAUGUACUAUGGCAUUCUUCACAAGUUCAAUAUAUUUCGGUGUACAUGGACUUUUCACAGAAACUGUUAGAAUUGCACUGGUUUUUCUUGUUUGUUUAAAUGUAUAAAAACAGAUUAUUUGUUUGUUUGCUUUCUUUAAUACGUGAUAUAUAAAAAACAAAAGGUCACAUUUACACCACAUUUCUUUCUUAAAGAAAAACAAAAAAAACUGUUAAGAAACUUGAUCUGAAAGUUCCUUUAUAUGAUUUAUUAUGUAUGGGAUAUGGGAUCAGGUUGAAAAAACAUACCUUAGGCACCUCUCAGAGUUCCCUUCAACUGCAAAGACAAAGCAGUGACAUCACAAUUUGUCAAGUACAUCAGGCACUUAAAGGAAUUCCCUUCAAAACAAAAACAAAUCUAAAUAUGGUAAAAACUAUUUGCCAGCCAAUAGACUAAAUAAAGACUUGUUAUGACAAACACUUCUAGUUGGAUUUUGUAAUUUAUAUAUUAAUGGCAAAGCAGUAAAUAAUAUAGCUAUAAGAUGAUAUGCUUUGGUGUAUAGGUAACAGAUUGACUAUCUCUGUCUGUUAACUUCUACCAGAGGAUAUUCCCUCAUACACAGAUGCUUGCAGUCCUAUAGUCCUACGGUUUAAUAAAAGGUCCUUGAAACAGGUAA